GACGAGGGAUCCUAGCGUUGUUCGGAAUCAUUGGGCGUAAAGAGUAUGUAGGUUGCUUUGCAAGUCAGUUGUGAAAUCCCCGGGCUUAACCCGGGAAGUGCUUCUGAUACUGCUUAGCUUGAGUACUGUAGAGGUGAGUGGAAUUCCAGGUGUAGUGGUGAAAUACGUAGAUAUCUGGAGGAACACCGGCGGCGAAAGCGGCUUCCUGGUCCGACACCGACGUUCAGGCACGAAAGCGUGGGGAGCAAACAGG
rnacentral:rRNA from 1 species